CAUGGCUCAGGACGAACGCUGGCGGCGUGCCUAAUACAUGCAAGUCGAACGAACCGCGACUGAGUGCUUGCACUUGGUCAAGGUGAGUGGCGAACGGGUGAGUAACACGUGGGUAACCUACCUCAUAGUGGGGGAUAACAGUCGGAAACGACUGCUAAUACCGCAUAGGACAUGGGAUCACAUGAUUCCGUGAGGAAAGGUGGCGCAAGCUAUCGCUAAGAGAUGGACCCGCGGUGCAUUAGCUAGUUGGUAGGGUAACGGUCUACCAAGGCAAUGAUGCAUCGCCGACCUGAGCGGGUGAUCGUCCACAUUGGGACUGCGACAUGUCCCAAACUCCUACGG
rnacentral:rRNA from 1 species